rnacentral:rRNA from 1 species
AGUGAACGCUGGCGGUAGGCCUAACACAUGCAAGUCGAACGGCAGCACAGUAAGAGCUUGCUCUUACGGGUGGCGAGUGGCGGACGGGUGAGGAAUACAUCGGAAUCUACUUUUUCGUGGGGGAUAACGUAGGGAAACUUACGCUAAUACCGCAUACGACCUACGGGUGAAAGCAGGGGAUCUUCGGACCUUGCGCGAUUGAAUGAGCCGAUGUCGGAUUAGCUAGUUGGCGGGGUAAAGGCCCACCAAGGCAACGAUCCGUAGCUGGUCUGAGAGGAUGAUCGGCGACACGGGGAGUGAGCCACGGUCCAGACGACUACGGGAGGCAGCAGUGGGGAAUGGGCCGAAAUGGGCGCAAGCAUGAAGGAGCAAGGCCGGGGGAAUGAUGACGGUCUUCGGAUCGUACAACUCUGUUAUGAGGGAAGAACAAAUGCGUAAGUAACUAUGCACGUCUUGACGGUACCUAAUCAGAAAGCCACGGCUAACUACGUG